UGCUACAGUGCCUAUAGUUAUGGUAACGAUAUUAGGGAAACCUGCUAUUAUAGGUUUCUAUUACCUUUAGUGACAGAUCAAAUCUUUUAGUGACUUUUUAAAUAUUAUAUUAAAAUAAUUAAUAUUAACUUUAGUAAGUUUUUAAUUAAAACUAGUAAGUAUAUGCCUGAAAGAUAAGAUUUAGUCAGAAAUAGAAAUUUACACUUUGAGUAAUUUAAUUUACUUAUUAUUUGACAAAAUUUACUUAUGUUUAAAUUAAACUUACCAAUACUGAAAGUAAAAAAUGUACAUAUUUAAGUAAAAAAACGGUUUUGGGUUCCUGAAAACGGUUUUGGGUAUCACCUUUCUCUUUAAAGUUAUCUACCUUCUUCUUAUUCAGUUCCCAGUUCCAAUGAUACGAUUGAAUUCCCAGGCAAAGGUUUCCACUUUGAUCCACACUUUCUCUUUGUUACAAUUGAAUAAAUCUUCUCACUUCAAAAUUUUCAUCUUUAGUUCACACUUUGCUUCUAUCCUUUCUCAUCGUUCGGUUGGGUUUGAGUGCUGCCAUAUGCAAACACAACAAAAGGGUUAGCGACGGUGGUAGCCAGCCAAAGAGCAUAUGAAAAAUAGCAGUGACGAGGCAAAGGUUUCCACUUUGGUCCAUACUUUCUCUUGGUCCAAUUGUUGUUGCUACAAAGGGACAAAAGGCAAAACAGUCCACUCACAAGCGAAAGCGAAGACGAUGCAAAAAUUGCAAGUCAUUUGGACAUGAUAGACGAAAAUGUACUAAAGUGUGCACAGAUGCAUAUGAAACUCACAAUUAUGAUCAUGUUGGGGCACCCAAUAAUGUUGAGAAUGUAAAUUUGAAUCUGAUAGGAUCAUCCGAUGGCCUAUUGCAAUCAGAUUCACAGCAUGGAUGCAAUAAGGAAUUAAUGGAUAGUAAUUGGUUUCAGAUCAUUCCUCCUGGUCAGGCAUUAAUGUGGGCAUGCAAUCCUUCAUUAAUCCAAAGUCAUGUACAAAACACUAGCUUGUUAGGAGAUGAAAAGUAUUCAGUGAAUGAACCAGAUUUCAGCCAAGACCAUUAAGGAAUUUUAUUCUUGAGAGAGUACAAAUGUUUUUGCACGUCUUUGCUCAAAGCUUUUAGGAUGAUUUAAGUUUCUUCGAAGCUUGCUUGGAAAAAAGUUUGGUGAUCAAAUUUCAGAUAUUGUUAGCAUCCAAGUGCUCUUGGGUUUGUAAACCAGAAAUGUCAAUCCAAACUGAAGCUUUUGAUAGUGAUAUCAGAGCCCUUGAUGCUGGUGAUCAAAUUCUCAAAUCAAGUUACUUGCCUUUUGAUUGCUUCAGAUUUCUGAAGCCAAAGUCUUUGUGCUCUAAAUUCAGUUCUUGGCCAUGUAAUCUUGUCAUGCUUAGAUAGCUAUAUCUAG